GGUUGAAUGGUGCAGUGGUACAUCAUCUUGGCCGGUUUUUCAAACAGGAAACCGCUGGUUCGAAUCCGGCAAAACUUAACCA
rnacentral:tRNA from 1 species